rnacentral:rRNA from 1 species
CAUGCAAGUCGAGCGGUAGAGAGAAGCUUGCUUCUCUUGAGAGCGGCGGACGGGUGAGUAAUGCCUAGGAAUCUGCCUGGUAGUGGGGGAUAACGCUCGGAAACGGACGCUAAUACCGCAUACGUCCUACGGGAGAAAGCAGGGGACCUUCGGGCCUUGCGCUAUCAGAUGAGCCUAGGUCGGAUUAGCUAGUUGGUGGGGUAAUGGCUCACCAAGGCGACGAUCCGUAACUGGUCUGAGAGGAUGAUCAGUCACACUGGAACUGAGACACGGUCCAGACUCCUACGGGAGGCAGCAGUGGGGAAUAUUGGACAAUGGGCGAAAGCCUGAUCCAGCCAUGCCGCGUGUGUGAAGAAGGUCUUCGGAUUGUAAAGCACUUUAAGUUGGGAGGAAGGGCAGUAACCUAAUACGUUGCUGUCUUGACGUUACCGACAGAAUAAGCACCGGCUAACUCUGUGCCAGCAGCCGCGGUAAUACAGAGGGUGCAAGCGUUAAUCGGAAUUACUGGGCGUAAAGCGCGCGUAGGUGGUUUGUUAAGUUGGAUGUGAAAUCCCCGGGCUCAACCUGGGAACUGCAUUCAAAACUGACAAGCUAGAGUAUGGUAGAGGGUGGUGGAAUUUCCUGUGUAGCGGUGAAAUGCGUAGAUAUAGGAAGGAACACCAGUGGCGAAGGCGACCACCUGGACUGAUACUGA